GUAUAAGCAUUAUACCGUGAAACUGCGAAUGGCUCAUUAAAUCAGUUAUCGUUUAUUUGAUAGUACCUUACUACUUGGAUAACCGUGGUAAUUCUAGAGCUAAUACAUGCUGAAAACCCCAACUUCGGGAGGGGUGUAUUUAUUAGAUAAAAAACCAACGCCCUUCGGGGCUUCUUGGUGAUUCAUGAUAACUUUACGGAUCGCAUGGCCUUGCGCCGGCGACGGUUCAUUCAAAUUUCUGCCCUAUCAACUUUCGAUGGUAAGGUAUUGGCUUACCAUGGUUUCAACGGGUAACGGGGAAUUAGGGUUCGAUUCCGGAGAGGGAGCCUGAGAAACGGCUACCACAUCCAAGGAAGGCAGCAGGCGCGCAAAUUACCCAAUCCCGACACGGGGAGGUAGUGACAAUAAAUACUGAUACAGGGCUCUUUUGGGUCUUGUAAUUGGAAUGAGUACAAUUUAAACCUCUUAACGAGGAACAAUUGGAGGGCAAGUCUGGUGCCAGCAGCCGCGGUAAUUCCAGCUCCAAUAGCGUAUAUUAAAGUUGUUGCAGUUAAAAAGCUCGUAGUUGAACCUUGGGUCUGGCUGGCAGGUCCGCCUCACCGCGUGUACUUGUCCGGCCGGGCCUUCCUUCUGGAGAACCUCAUGCCCUUCACUGGGCGUGUUGGGGACCAGGACUUUUACUUUGAAAAAAUUAGAGUGUUCAAAGCAGGCCUUUGCUCGAAUACGUUAGCAUGGAAUAAUAGAAUAGGACGUGCGGUCCUAUUUUGUUGGUUUCUAGGACCGCCGUAAUGAUUAAUAGGGACAGUCGGGGGCAUCAGUAUUCAAUUGUCAGAGGUGAAAUUCUUGGAUUUAUUGAAGACUAACUACUGCGAAAGCAUUUGCCAAGGAUGUUUUCAUUAAUCAGU
rnacentral:rRNA from 1 species